GGGGAGGAGGAAGCAGACGGAAUGCUGAAGAGAAGAAGAGGCAAUUGCUCUUCCCCUCUCCAGUAUUUCGUCUGCUUCCUCCUUCCCU
rnacentral:pre_miRNA from 1 species